UUGUGGUUCUAACAAAUAGUUUUCUCGUUCUCAUGGGAAAGGGGAUAGAAUAAAUGAAAAUCACAUAUUCAGUUGUGCCCUAUAGUUUUAGUCCAAGAAUUCCUUAAUCGAAGAUGAUUUUAAGAUUAAAAAAACUACUCUGUCGUCUUACACAAUGGCCGUAUGGGUUUCGGAAAUACCAGAGUAAUUCGACAUGCUAAGGCCAAAUCAAGCCACCAUAUUUUCUGUUUCUCAACCAAUCUAGGCGCGGCCAGGGCAAACAACAGUAUGGGCCACCAUGGCUGGUGGGACUUCUACACACCCGC
rnacentral:lncRNA from 1 species